rnacentral:tRNA from 1 species
GGGCGAUUAGCUCAGCUGGUAGAGCAGCAGACUCUUAAUCUGCGGGUCGCAGGUUCGAUCCCUGUAUCGCUCA